AUUGAACGCUGGCGGGAGGCCUUACACAUGCAAGUCGAACGAGUGGCGGACGGGUGAGUAAUAUAUGGGAAAGUGCCCAGUGGCGGGGGAUAACUACUGGAAACGGUGGCUAAUACCGCAUACUAUCGGAUGUGCCCAGAUGGGAUUAGCUAGUUGGUGGGGUAACGGCUCACCAAGGCAACGAUCCGUAGCUGGUUUGAGAGGAUGACCAGCCACACUGGAACGGAGACACGGUCCAGACUCCUACGGGAGGCAGCAGUGGGGAAUAUUGGACAACGGGCGCAACCCUGAUGCAGCCAUGCCGCGUGUAUGAAGAAGGCCUUCGGGUUGUAAAGUACUUUCAGCGGGGAGGCGUUACUCGCAGAAGAAGCACCGGCUAACUCCGUGCCAGCAGCCGCGGUAAUUC
rnacentral:rRNA from 1 species